AGAGUUUGAUCCUGGCUCAGGAUGAACGCUAGCUACAGGCUUAACACAUGCAAGUCGAGGGGUAGCAGGGUAGCAAUACCGCUGACGACCGGCGCACGGGUGAGUAACGCGUAUCCAACCUUCCGUUUACUCUUGAAUAACCUUCUGAAAGGGAGACUAAUGCAAGAUAGCAUCAUGAGGAUUCAUGUUCACAUGAUUAAAGAUUUAUCGGUAACCGAUGGGGAUGCGUUCCAUUAGAUAGUAGGCGGGGUAACGGCCCACCUAGUCUUCGAUGGAUAGGGGUUCUGAGAGGAAGGUCCCCCACACUGGAACUGAGACACGGUCCAGACUCCUACGGGAGGCAGCAGUGAGGAAUAUUGGUCAAUGGGCGAGAGCCUGAACCAGCCAAGUAGCGUGAAGGAUGAAGGUUCUAUGGAUUGUAAACUUCUUUUACAUGGGAAUAAAGUCGUCUACGUGUAGACGUUUGUAUGUACCAUGUGAAUAAGGACCGGCUAACUCCGUGCCAGCAGCCGCGGUAAUACGGAGGGUCCAAGCGUUAUCCGGAUUUAUUGGGUUUAAAGGGAGCGUAGAUGGGUUGUUAAGUCAGUUGUGAAAGUUUGCGGCUC
rnacentral:rRNA from 1 species